CAGUGGUCGAAUUUAAGCUUUUUUUUGUGGUGUAAUGAUAAUUUGAGAGGCACUAUCAAAGGGAGGCAUGUGAAGAGGCUUUUAACUUUUAUUAACUACGGUUGUAAGCUGUGAAAAGCACAAAUUUGAAAGCAAUGAAUAAACAAUGGAGAAAUGUGCUUCAAUUAUGGUUUAUAAAUGUAUCAGUCAAGUGAUUCAGUAUUAAAGUGACCACCACCACCACCACCACCCACCCACCCACCCACCACCAUGUAGUGGGUGUAUAGGGUUCGGUCCAGCAGUCUGCCCUGGUGCUGUGUGACGCGAAGACAUGCGUGUGCUGCUACUCUCAUCCUGCCGGUGUGGUGACUGUGACCUGCCCUGACCUGCCCUGACCUGCCUGUGACCUGCCCUGACCUGCCUGUGACCUGCUUUUGACCUGCCUUGACUUGCUCUGACACACAUGGUGAGCCGAGACCUUCCGAGACCUUCCGAGACCUUCCAAGACCUUCCAAAAUCUGCCGUGACCCACAGAUGAAGAUGUAUAGAUUUAAGAAGUGCGAUGAUGCGACACAGACAGACAGACAGACAGGUGUGGGAUGAGUGCUGGCAUACUGAAGGUCAAGAGGUCAAGAGGUCAAGAGGUCAAGAGUCACGUGUUGAGUCGUAUGGGUCACCAGACAGGUCACCCAUCUAACCCCACUCGGCCUGUCAGUUCAGCGGCAACACUCAUGGAAGAAUUUGCCGCAAGCUGUGCCUCUCUGUGCUUGUUAUCCGAACCUUGUGUCUAAUAUUGCCUUAAUGUUGUGUGUGUGUGUGUGUGUGUGUGUGUGUGUGUGUGUGUGUGUGUGAGAGAGAGAGAGAGAGAGAGAGAGAGAUUUUGUUACUCGUCAUGUCCCCUGUACCACUUGAAGACCUCCACCAGACCCCCUCUUAGUCACCCUUGUCAUGUCCCCUGUACCACUUGAAGACCUCCACCAGACCCCCUCUUAGUCACCCUUGUCAUGUCCCCUGUACCACUUGAAGACCUCCACCUGACCCCCUCUUAGUCACCCUUCUGAGGUACAAUAGUGUCUAGUCAUCCUUCCUAUGUCAUCCUUGUGUAAUCAGGAAUAAUUAUCAGCCUUUGUACUCCUCCUGUCUGUCUGUCUGUCUGUCUGUCUGUCUGCCUACCAGUUAAAAUGAUCAAUGUAGUCAGUUAUACUUGUGGAUACUGUGUGUGUGUGUGUGUGUGUGUGUGUGUGUGUGUGUGUGUGUGUGUAUAUAUAUGAAUUAAUGUUUAUUGUGAAGUAUCUGCCUGCCUGCUUGCAAAUUAAUUAUCAAUGUAGUUACUGUUUGUGUGUUUGUGUGUGUUAUAAAGCAAUCUUGUGUAUAUUAUUGGUUGUAUUCCACAUGUAUGGGCUGGCCAGACGUGAUGUACUGUGACAGCCAGAACCUUGACAUAUACUGCUUGAUAAAAUGAAAAUAAGCAAAAAAAACAUGAAUAAAGUACAAAUUUUGAGCCGAACUAAUGAGGACUCUCUCUCGUCUUUUUCAGAGGUGCGUACAUCUGCGAGUCACUCCAACCAACCUCUUAUAUCCUACCUUAUUCUGAUAUAUUAGGUUAGAUUCAGUUAGGUUACUUAUAUUGGGGGCCUGUCUUCCUUACUAACCUAACCUAACCUAACCCAUUCCUUCCUUCUCGUCAAGCUGUUGGUGGGAGAAGCCCCAGGACUCUCAAGCGUGGGUUGAGUCACAACUGCGGGUGUGCUAGCCCACCUUGAAGUCAGACGGGGCUCACGUGUUGCAGUGUUGCAGUGUUGCAGUGUUGCAGAUCUUCACCCAAACAAGGGGAGUAUUGUUUUUUUGUGUUUUGUAUAUAUAUAUUUUUUUUUGGGGGGAGGGGGUCUGGGGAUAGCUAUCUGCGGUGUGCGUCUGUGCGUGCGUCUGUGUGUGCGUCUGUGUGUGCGUCUGCGUGUGCGUCUGUGCACGUGCGUCUGUGUGCGUGCAUCUGUGUGUACGUGUCUUUUUUUUGGUUGUGUGUGUGUGAAUUUUUUUUUGGUAUAAAUAUAUAGGUGGCAGGCCAUAGUGUUAGGAUAUUUGACACAGAUUAAUAUAGAAGAUGGUUUAAGUUAGUUAUUAAUAUAGAAGAUGGUUUAAGUUAGUUAAGGGUUAAGUGAGGCAUAGAGAGAGAGAGAGAGAGAGAG